GAACGCUAGCGGCAGGCUUAACACAUGCAAGUCGAGGGGCAGCAUGAGACGGAGAUUCGUCGAAGUCUUGAUGGCGACCGGCGCAAGGGUGCGUAACGCGUGAGCAACUUGCCCGUUUCUGGGGAAUAACCGGUGGAAACGCCGACUAAUACCCCAUAGUAUUGAGUUUAGGCAUCUUUACUCAAUUAAAGAAUUUCGGAUAAGGAUAGGCUCGCGUGACAUUAGCUAGAUGGCGGGUAACGGCCCACCAUGGCGACGAUGUCUAGGGGUUCUGAGAGGAAGGUCCCCCACACUGGAACUGAGACACGGUCCAGACUCCUACGGGAGGCAGCAGUGAGGAAUAUUGGUCAAUGGUCUGACGACUGAACCAGCCAUGCCGCGUGAAGGUCACGGCCCUAUGGGUCUUAAACUUCUUUUGUAAGGGAGCAAUAAGGCGCACGUGUGCGUCGAUGAGAGUACCUUACGAAUAAGCAUCGGCUAACUCCGUG
rnacentral:rRNA from 1 species